AGAGAGAGCCAUUGAACACAUAGCUUCCAGAGCUGCCCUAGCUGAUAGGAAGAGGGUUGGGAGGCAAACCCCAUGAAGGGGCAAUAGAAGAUCUCAUGAAGCCCUAUCCAUGGGCUGUCUGAGAGGUUGACCCCUGUUCCACCAAGACUCUCCUCUCUUGCAACGGGAAGGGAGGAAGAAGAACCACCCCUCUUCCAGACAGGGUGCGCCGCAGAGAACUCCCCUCCCCCAAACGAGGCCACUGGGGGAAUAGAAGGUGUUCUGGCCAGGAAUCUGAAAAUAAGGCCACAUCGUCAAGCCUGCCAGGAAUGAGGGCCUGCAGCUGCACCGCCCAGUUGUCAGGCAGCCAAUCAGCACAGCGGGGCCACAGAAGUACCCAUCUGGUUGGCUAAGGCAAUCUAGUGUUUGCUCUUAAGCCCAGCACAUCAGCAGCUGCUCAACACAUAUGCCUGCAGAUUCUGUUUACCUGUGUUUGUCUCACUCCUUCACUGCUCCAGCCAAGACACUACCCUGCAUGCAGUCUUAUUCCAGUUUUGUCCCAGCCUUGUUCCUGCCUUCCCUGACUCCAGAUGUGACAGAUGCAGAUUAUACAGAAUCUAAGAUUCCCCCGCCCCCUUGGUGGUGGGGGAGAAGGAGGAGGAAUUCUAGCUCUUCUGGUUGCAAAACUGACUUUCCAAAUGUGAAUCAAGCUGAUGAAGUGAUUUCCCGAGUUUGGAGACAUCUUGAAGUAAUGGUAUUGGGAGGUUUGAACUCCUCUAUUCCCUUUUAAUUACAUUGGCUUGUCAACUCUGCCCAGUGAUGAGACUUGCAUAUAAACGUUAGCUAUUUAACUGCUGAUUACUUUAGAAUGGGGAAAGGGCAUGGGGUGAGGGGGAGGAUUGGGAGUUGCUGCAGGAAAGAAAGUGCAGAAGCAAUGCAGGGGAAAACCAUGAGGACAGAGAACAGGGAAUGAAGAAAACAGGAUGAUGGAGAGGGAAGGGAAGAGGUGGAAAUAGCAGUGAUCUUGCAUUUCCAUUUCUUGAUGGGAAAAUGUGUUCAUCAAAGUUCUGAACAAAUAAAAACCCAGAGCUUAUUUAGUAGAUAAGGGCCAUAUCAUCUCCCAUUGACAGCAGUGGACAUUCUUCUAUGGGUUGAGGGGAGCAUGGAAUCCUAAUUUUGUGUCUCAGUUCAUGUCCCAUAAUUAAAAAUGGGACUCAGCCCUCUCCAAUGAAAGUUUGACAUCCCUGUUAUAGUUGCUUGUAAGGGAGAUAGAAAAUUCUCUGCUAGGAGGGCAGAUGCGGUAUUUUGCAGAGCCACUGCCUUUCCACAGGUAGCUGUAAGGAGCGCUAGGACUCAAACUUGGGUCAGCAGACUAACCAGGUAACUAAUACCUCCACACUACCACUUGGCAGCAGCUGUAAACAGGUUGCUCCUGGCAACUUGCAGAUCACAGUGGAUGUACGCUAUGGGAAGUCCUGCCUGACAGACCUGUUGACAGCUUCCUGGGAGGCUCCUGAAUGGUACUUUGGCUCCAUAUAAGCCCACAGGCAUACCAGGAAGUGCUCAGGUAGGCUGCUAUGACUGACUCUCUGCUCCUGGCAUCAACUUUGGCUCUGACUUGGAUUCUGCCCCUUGCCCUGAACCUGGGACCCUGACACCAUCCUGACCUUGGCCAAGAAAUCUGACUUUGAGAUGCUCAAGCCCUGCCCUAUGACCCUGAAAGUAGGAUGGAGAGAAACUCAGUGGAAGAAUAGUGGCUGUGAAAGGAGUCUGUGACAGGGGCAUGCCCUUUUCUGCAAUAAUUGACUGAGUCCCUCCCUCACAUCCUUUCUGGAACAUCACAAUAGGCCCCCUUGGGGAAAGAGAAAAGAGUCCAUGGUUGGACCACCCGAAAUGGCUGGAUUGGUGUGUAUAAUGUGUGUGUAUAUGACCAUCUUGCUGAAGUCAAGAGUAACUUUUUGAAGGGCAAGUUAUAUUGAAAAAAGUAAAUCCCAUAGUGUGUAAGCAAAACAUAUUUUCCCACCCUUAGAAAAAUGUGUUGCUAGUCUUUACAUUUCCCAUAAAUAAAGAGUUCGUUUUUGUCCUCCCUACACAGUAAUAUACUCUGGUACGUUUUGGUUAGAAUGCUUCAUCGGAGUUACUUUUCCUGUCCCUUAGCACUUUUGCACUUUAGACGUUACUUCUUGCUUUGGAGAACUAGUGUCAAUGUGAAAUUGUUUAUGUAUUGGGAGGGUGACAGAGCCACAGUUCACAAGACACUUUGCUCCUUUCCUUGGAGGAAUAUUACUAUGUGUAAAAGAAGCACUUAUUCGUUCUCCUGCUAUGAAUCUCCAGUUGUAGGAACUUUUGCAUACCCAGUUGAACUGAGCAAUACAACCAUAUAAUCACCCUGAUUAUUUCCACUGAAUGUAGUCUGAAGUUGUUCAGGAAAUUCAUCUUUGAGUGCUGCUGAGCUCUUCUUUGAGAAAUAAAUACCACUAUUUCCCAUCUACAAACUAACAAAAUAAAAUUAUAGUUCAGCCAGAAGUGAGACUUAGUUCCUCAGAUGGUAGCUCAACUGCCAUAUUAAAUAUAUAACGAAUGGUUUUCAUAUCUAAUCUGGGUAGGAACUCUGCUGGUAAAAGACCUCAAACUUCAAUGCGUCCUAAGAAUGGGAUACUUGCAGGAAAUUUAAGUCAAGACAGUUCCUCCUAAACUCUGUAUUUGUUUGUUUUAUACAAAUCUACAGUAGCUGUCUCUGUAGGGUAAAUGAAGCAGCAGGCAGGUUGCAUUUAUCCCAUGUCAAGAUGAAAAGCUGAUUACGCUGAUGAGUGCAGAUGAAGCGGAAACCUCUCAGAGAUUAGGUUUUGCUCUCCAUGUGCCCUACAUUGCAGGUUGACAUAAUUGUUUACUCUUGGUCAUUUUACAUGUACAGUCUUUCCUCUGUCUCCUUAUCAGAGUGCAAAUGUACUCAAAAAGAGAAAUUUCUAUCAGCAAAGUGUAAUAAUUCAUCUCCCUUUAAGAGAACACAUUUUAAAAAGAAAACAACUAACUUUUCAAAGUACUUGGAACUGGUAUAUCUGUUUUCUGUUCUGUUCACAGUAUUUGUCUCUGACUAUGAUGUGAAAUAGUGAUGUUAUAGGCAAGGUAGUGCAAACUUGUAGGUUACUAGAUUGGAGAUGGCAAGUAAAUUAUGAGCAAACUAUCAAGUUUCUACAACUUUAAGGAUAAUCUGCAGUGAUGAAAAGAAGUUUAAAACUAUCAGAAAAGAUCUCAAGAAUUUUAGGCAGAAGUAGCAAGUGAAUGAUUUUAAUUAUUUUAAGAUUUAAUUUUGUUUAUGAAAGAUCUGUCCUUCACAUGUUCUGAGCUGAUUUUAUCAACAACUGUUUAUUGCAGGAAGCACUCCCAUCCUUCAUUAGGUUGUGGGCCUCUAAUGUUGGAGUCUUGUUAAUGAAUCUAAGCAGAACCACAUGUGUAGCCACAAGCGAUGCUACAUUUUGCCUAAGAUGAGAUGUCAUUGUAAUGUUUUAACAUUUACAAAGGUCUUCAAGAACGGCUGGAAUCAAAAUGCCAUUUUUCCUCCCAAAUUGUACAGUCACUAUUAAUGUCUUGCAGAAAGCUAUAUUAAUUGCAGCUUUUAAAUAUUGUGUAAUAAAAUAAGGGUCGUUUGCUUCUUCCCUGCUUUGCUCCAGAACCGAAUGUUUCAAUGAACAAUAUCAGAAAGAUUUUUAGGUAAGAAAAUAGAUUCUUUAGCCUCCACCAGCUCAGCUCCUCUAUGGCCCAUCUUUGAAUUGAAGUAAAAUAAGUGUAGGGAUGGUUCUUGUAGCUUUGAGUGUUAAGAGGUGCCCGGGUGGCGCUUUUAUAUAGGAAGCAACUCAGCUGGCUGGGCGAUGAUCAUCUUUUUGUCGAUGAUGUAAAUUCCAAAGUGGAGCUCGUUUUCCUAAAAGCCCUAUUU